CUGGGCGUAAAGCGAGCGCAGACGGUUACUUAAGCAGGAUGUGAAAUCCCCGGGCUCAACCUGGGAACUGCGUUCUGAACUGGGUGACUAGAGUGUGUCAGAGGGAGGUAGAAUUCCACGUGUAGCAGUGAAAUGCGUAGAGAUGUGGAGGAAUACCGAUGGCGAAGGCAGCCUCCUGGGAUAACACUGACGUUCAUGCUCGAAAGCGUGGGUAGCAAACAGGAUUAGAUACCCUGGUAGUCCACGCCCUAAACGAUGUCAAUUAGCUGUUGGGCAACUUGAUUGCUUAGUAGCGUAGCUAGCGCGUGAAAUUGACCGCCUGGGGAGUACGGUCGCAAGAUUAAAACUCAAAGGAAUUGACGGGGACCCGCACAAGCGGUGGAUGAUGUGGAUUAAUUCGAUGCAACGCGAAGAACCUUACCUGGUCUUGACAUGUACGGAAUCCUCCAGAGACGGAGGAGUGCCUUCGGGAACCGUAACACAGGUGCUGCAUGGCUGUCGUCAGCUCGUGUCGUGAG
rnacentral:rRNA from 1 species